rnacentral:rRNA from 1 species
AUUGAACGCUGGCGGCAUGCCUUACACAUGCAAGUCGAACGGCAGCAUGAUCUAGCUUGCUAGAUUGAUGGCGAGUGGCGACCGGGUGAGUAAUACAUCGGAACGUGCCCUGUAGUGGGGGAUAACUAGUCGAAAGAUUAGCUAAUACCGCAUACGACCUGAGGGUGAAAGUGGGGGACCGCAAGGCCUCAUGCUAUAGGAGCGGCCGAUGUCUGAUUAGCUAGUUGGUGAGGUAAAGGCUCACCAAGGCGACGAUCAGUAGCUGGUCUGAGAGGACGAUCAGCCACACUGGGACUGAGACACGGCCAAGACUCCUACGGGAGGCAGCAGUGGGGAAUUUUGGACAAUGGGCGAAAGCCUGAUCCAGCAAUGCCGCGUGUGUGAAGAAGGCCUUCGGGUUGUAAAGCACUUUUGUCCGGAAAGAAAUGGCUCUGGUUAAUACCUGGGGUCGAUGACGGUACCGGAAGAAUAAGGACCGGCUAACUACGUG